AAUUAUACCCUUUUUAAAAGAGUAAGUGUAGGUAAAAGUGUAAAACCCACCUUUUAUUUUUCCCUAAUCACAAUAUCUUGAAAGAAAUAAAAUCUCAAUCUCAAUUCUCAAUCAUAUAAAUGAUAUAAGAGAGGUCACCCACCAAACUCCCUUCCCCCAUUCUCCAAACCAAACUACCUUCAAUUUCUUCCAUCCCUAUAGAUAUCUGGUUCGAGGCGCACAUUUUCUUGGAACCCAAAGCCAUUAAAGAGCACGGCAGGAAAACGCGUGGUGUACAGGUUGGCUCUCUUGCUCGCUCUCCCCUGUUUUCUUGAUUUCCCAUCUCUGUGCGUGUGGGCAUGUGGUCCUCUUUGACAAAAGUUGUUGAAUUGGAGGAGUGUAAGACUGGGUAAUUCUGGGUUGAAGUCAUACUGUGAAGGAAAAGUAUAAAGGUGAGGACUUUGAAGGUUGGAAAAAGAUGAGGAUGGUGAGUGCCAUUGAUUGUUCGGAGUGCCCGGGUCUGUGUGGAUUCUUAGUUGUUGAAGCUUAUCCAAAGGGGUACUCUUCCAAGAUCCCCUCUGAUUUGGUCCUUUUCCUGGGGCUUGGCUUCAUAGAUUGGUAAUAUCCUGUGUUGCUCUUAUAGUCUUAUACCUAUAUCUAUAUUUAUUAUCUUAGAUAUACACCCAAAAAAUAUUUAGAGAUCUAGAUAUAUUUGUUUUUAUUAUUGGAGUUACUUA